rnacentral:rRNA from 1 species
AUUGAACGCUGGCGGCGUGGCUAAAGCAUGCAAGUCGAGCGAACCCGCAAGGGUGAGCGGCGGACGGGUUAGUAAUACGAUCGAACGUACCCUGAGGCGGGGGGAUAGGCGUGGGAAACUGCGCGUAAUACCCCAUGAUCUCUCCGGAGCAAAGGUUUACCACCUUGGGAUCGGCGAUCGUCCUAUCAGCUAGUUGGCGGGGUAAAGGCCCACCAAGGCUAUGACGGGUAGCAGGUGUGAGAGCACGACCUGCAACAUCGGGACUGAGACACUGCCCGGACUCCUACGGGAGGCUGCAGCGACGAAUCUUCCGCAA